rnacentral:rRNA from 1 species
UACGUAGGGGGCAAGCGUUACUCGGAAUUACUGGGCGUAAAGGGUGAGUAGGCGGCUGGGCAAGUCAAGGAUGAAAUCCCGAGGCUCAACUUCGGAAUUGUCCUUGAAACUGCUCAGCUUGAGGGUAGUUGAGGAGAGCGGAAUUCCCGGUGGAGCGGUGAAAUGCGUAGAUAUCGGGAGGAACACCUGAGGCGAAGGCGGCUCUCUAAGCUACUCCUGACGCUGAAUCACGAAAGCUAGGGGAGCAAACGGG